rnacentral:rRNA from 1 species
UACGAAGGGGGCUAGCGUUGCUCGGAAUCACUGGGCGUAAAGGGUGCGUAGGCGGGUCUUUUAAGUCAGGGGUGAAAUCCUGGAGCUCAACUCCAGAACUGCCUUUGAUACUGAGGAUCUUGAGUUCGGGAGAGGUGAGUGGAACUGCGAGUGUAGAGGUGAAAUUCGUAGAUAUUCGCAAGAACACCAGUGGCGAAGGCGGCUCACUGGCCCGAUACUGACGCUCAGGCGCGACAGCGUGGGGAUCAAACAGG